rnacentral:rRNA from 2 species
GUGGCGAACGGGUGAGUAACACGUGAGUAACCUGCCCCGGACUCUGGAAUAAGCGCUGGAAACGGCGUCUAAUACCGGAUACGAGACGCAACCGCAUGGUUAGUGUCUGGAAAGUUUUUCGGUCUGGGAUGGACUCGCGGCCUAUCAGCUUGUUGGUGAGGUAAUGGCUCACCAAGGCGACGACGGGUAGCCGGCCUGAGAGGGCGACCGGCCACACUGGGACUGAGACACGGCCCAGACUCCUACGGGAGGCAGCAGUGGGGAAUAUUGCACAAUGGGCGAAAGCCUGAUGCAGCGACGCCGCGUGAGGGAUGACGGCCUUCGGGUUGUAAACCUCUUUCAGCAGGGAAGAAGCGAAAGUGACGGUACCUGCAGAAGAAGCACCGGCUAACUACGUGCCAGCAGCCGCGGUAAUACGUAGGGUGCGAGCGUUGUCCGGAAUUAUUGGGCGUAAAGAGCUUGUAGGCGGUUUGUCGCGUCUGCUGUGAAAAUCCGGGGCUCAACCCCGGACUUGCAGUGGGUACGGGCAGACUAGAGUGUGGUAGGGGAGACUGGAAUUCCUGGUGUAGCGGUGAAAUGCGCAGAUAUCAGGAGGAACACCGAUGGCGAAGGCAGGUCUCUGGGCCACUACUGACGCUGAGAAGCGAAAGCAUGGGGAGCGAACAGGAUUAGAUACCCUGGUAGUCCAUGCCGUAAACGU